GGUCAUUGGCCAGGAUAUGAGAAUCACUUCAUGAAGUGGAAUCUUAUGUCAAAAUGCUGUUUACUAAAAUAGGAUUUUCCAGAGGGUGGUGUUUUCAUGAAAACACUCAAUGGAAACAUUUAGACCUUGCUCACCUCUCUGCUCACCUACUUCUCAGGUCCUUUCAGAUGAGCAGCAGCAUCAUUGGAAACCAUAGAGGUGCAGGGUAUGGAGAAGGCAGAGGGGCAGGAAGGACGACAAUGGAAGAAAAAGAGAGAUGGGGAAGGGAGAAUUCUGCCAGCAGCCUGCCUUUGGACUUGAACUGCAUCUCUUCCUUGGGUCUCCAGUCUGCCGACCUACCCUGGAGAUUUUGGACUUGCCAAGCCUCCACAAUCACGUUGCCUACCACAGCAUGGUUUGUCAAGCAGUGCCAUGUUCACACCCGGGAUCCGAACCUGUGAACCCCGGGCCGCCGA
rnacentral:lncRNA from 1 species